ensembl:lncRNA
AUCUCUUUCUUGAGAUCCGUCCUUGGUAGAGCUUUUCAUCACGAGCCUAAAUCUUCAGAUACAGAUCCCAUCAAGUUAACAGACUGGUCCCUUCAUCCAAAGCAAAAACUCCAAUUAAUUUUCAACAGAUAUGUCUCAGCUUUCAAGACAUGAGUGAAGGCCAGACACGUGGGGGCACCUGCUCUUGCAGAAGGAGGUCCACCACAAGUCAAAGAGCUGCUGGAGAGGAAAGCUUUCCGUGUAGUCCUGGCUCUAGAGAGCACAGCUCUCCCUCUGCCAACCCCCCUCGAUCUCACAGCUUCACUGACCUGGCCAGCAUGGCUGACCUCCCCUGCAUGGCUGGCAUGUCAGCAUGGCACGUGGGAAGCAGAGCCCUCAGGAGCCUGGCGGCCUCACCACUUUGGCCCCAGGGCGAGGCCAAGCUCUCAGACCUUCCCAGACCCGUGCUUCAGCUCCGUCUGCAGGCACAGGAGUUCCAGGGGGAGCUUCUCUUUGAGAAGGCUGUAGAACAGGACUCAACAUUUUGGGAUAUUUACUGAAUUCAGCUAUCUCAAGACAGUAAAUUCUCCUGAAAAAAAGAAAGAUGUUCAUCUCCUGCUUGUCUGUAUCUCUGUGACUGAGAUCUCAUAAGCUAAAUGCUUCAGGCAGUCAUUCAUUUUCAAAAGGAAGGUGAACACCCGUGAGCUAGCUUCUUAAAUUUACAUUGAUUUUGGUCUAAAGGAACUGUGGUGUUUGUAAACAUGAUUACUAUUUAAAACUGCUGUCGUUUAACCAGCAAACAAUGCACAUAACAACCACUUCAUUCUUGGCAAAAGCAACAUUCUGCUUUGGUUUGUUUGCUUUUUCCUCUUAAAAGUAACCUUGUUUAGAAUAAAAACUGUGCAUAUGGUAGUGAUAUAAGUAAUUCCUUUGGAAAUUUUGAGAAUAAAUACUGGUUCUGCUAAAUUCUGUUUCAGGAGGGAUGUGAGCAAAGGAGAAUGUAGAAGAAAAGUUGUGUGUGUUAUGAAGUCUGUAUGUCUUCUAAACUAAAAAAAAGUUUAAAAAGAGCCCAUGACUGCACUGUAGUGAUAAUUAACCUUUUUUUUUUCCUGUUUGUAUGAAAUUACAAGAAGACUGGUAUUACUUUUUAUCUUUUGCCAUUGCAAGCAUUUGCCAAAUUGCUGGAAAUGUAAUAUAAUCCCCUGUAAUUACAUGUUUUGAAAAAGAGCAUUCCUGGGCUGUUUAUAUGGAUUAAAACUGACUUAAAAAUGCUAGAAGGCAUUCCAACCAAAAUGGUAAACUAAUUAGCAAUUAAUACUGUGCUGUGGUUUAAGAGUAAUUUUUAUGCCAUUAAAAUACAAAAUUUCAAGCAAGCUAAGGACAAUUUUAUACUUUUAUCUUGUUUUGUGAUAAAUUCUUUGUUUUUUUAUGAUCAGUAGAAAAGUGUCCUGGAAUAGCAAUUAAAGAAAACAGAAUAGUGUUGAGAAAAAAACUGUGUGUUAAGCACCACUAUAAAAAAUCUGUAUGAAUAAAUCAAGCAAUAGUUUGUUUCAUCUCUCUGUUAAGGUGUUGGAAUCCUGGAGUGGCUAGACAGAGCAUAAAGCAAUACUUCAUAGAUUUAUCCUUAUAUAGAUCUAUUCUGGCACAUUUCAUUAUUUUUUUCUUUUCUAAUUAUAGGUUAAUAUGUUUCGUUUACAUCAGUGGCCAAGUACGAGUACUUCUCUGAACUGCAUCCAAACUGCAUAUGUUUAAACUAAGAUAUAAGGCCAUUUAUUUUCCAUUUAGUUCAGUUGGGUUUGGAUCCAGUCCCUUUUGGAUCUUCAAAGUCCAAUUGGAAAUCCUGUGAAACCAUACCUUCUUAUGCACCUUGAGCUGAUUCCAACCCUCAAGCUGGUUUAUGUAGAGAUUUCUGAUAGUGUUUAACACAGUAUGCCUGAUGUGAUUCUUUGAAUUGUUAAUGAGUCCAAGUAAGUUGUUGAUUUCUGAGAAUCAAGAGAAUGAAAUUUAAUGCUGUGUUUUCAUUGUUUUUCAUUUUCUUUUUAGGGUAUAAUUCCUUUAGCUUAAUGGAGUUAUCAUUCUUUGGUGUCAUGUGACAGAAGAAAUCAGGUUUAUGGGCAUGUAUGUUAACUGUCUGACUGACUCGCAGUACUGAUAAUUAUUGUGCAUCCAGUCUGUUUUACUAGCAGAGGUUAUCCAACAGGCAGAAAUAAGGCAAGAGCUUUGAAAUAAAGCCUUUAGAAAC